CUGAUAUAGAGGUUCUGGAUGGCAGGGAGCUCGGCCCCAGUGAUGUACUGGGCUGUCCUCACCACCACCUGAUAUAGAGGUUCUGGAUGGCAGGGAGCUCGGCCCCAGUGAUGUACUGGGCUGAUCCGUAGCACAGAUCACGAAGUCAGAUAAUUUUCACUCCAUUCACAUGCUUAUCAGUUUAAGUCAUACACGGGCUUGUCAUGUUGUUAUUUGAACAGGCCCUGGUCUACAGUGAAAUAAUCUAAUUUCAGUCCUCCUUUAUGAUGAUUAUUUUUGUUCUAUCUGUCGUAGCUCAUUAGUACACCUUUGUGGUUGAAAUGUAUAUCUAUUGUGUGUCCUAGGAUACAACAAUUAAUUGAACCCCUAACCCUGGUAACGGAGGACAUCAGGUGGGUGUUGGGUAGAACCACUAGGUCCUGGAGAACAGGUAACGGAGGACAUCAGGUGGGUGUUGGGCAGAGCCCCUAGGUCCUGGAGAACAGGUAACGGAGGACAUCGGAUGGAUCUGGGUGUUGGGUUGAACCCCCUAGGUCCUGGAGAACAAGAGCAGAGUUAGAGGUUAGGAGACGGACGUCAACAAGCAAACACACAGGUUACACUUUACUGGGAGAACAUUUUGAUGGAUUAGUGCAGUGUUAUAAAUGGGAGAUAUUUACUUUUCAACACUGGGAUGGUACAGCCUACCUCAAGCUGGUCCCCCUCUGACUCCGAGCACAGAUAAUCAGACUGAUCUGAACUCACUGGUUCUGGUGGAUGGGAUACUUCCUGGGGAGCUCAGACAGUUGAUGGUCCUCAAGUCAUUUUUAUAAGCUCAGCAUAACUACCAUUUCUUUCUUUCUCAAAUGUCAACCAAAGCUUAACACACUAUCUAUUGGGCUUCACUGAAGUGUAGGGCAUCAGGGCUUUCAGUGGUCGACCGUCCAACUCCAGCAUGUAAAUCCUGGUGGGGCAUAGGGGGGGGGGGGGGGACAGCUUUUAGAUGCAUGCCAGUGUUGACAAGGGGGGGCCACAAACUGUUAGGGACUACAUCAAUCUGUCCCAACACCUUACCACUGCUACACCUGACUAUCAGCGGAGCCUUGUCUGGCAGCGAAACGGUUCAUUCAUGCUGUUGGAUUCGUGGUAAACUUUGAACAUUGAGAUAUUAAAGACAUAAUAGAUCAGACGCAUAGUGUAUAAAAAGAGACUGGGUUUAUGCCAGAAGGUAAUGGGUCUCCGUAGAAAGACCGAUGGCUUUGGAAUGUGUUGGGUGGACGGGAGGAGAUCACAGGAUUGCUAUAAGGGAAGUGGAUGGACAUCUGUGGAUUAGGCAAAGGAAGGUUUGAGGUCAAGAGGUCAGGUCAGAUCCCCUGAAGGGAGUAAUAAGGGUUUAGUAUCCUGUUUCCCUUAUCCUGUGGAACCAUAAGAUGUAAGGAUUGGAGAGAAUGAGGAGUGUCCAAAGUGGGGUGUAUAUAUAUACUUGUGACGGUGAGAACAUGUUUUUGUCUGAAUUACAGCUGUAACGACCCUUUGGGGAAGAAUUAAACUUGGUUAAGCUUC